UAUCUGCUGUGAGAAUGAUGGCUUAACUAGGAAGUUUGGUCUGGAAGUCGAGGAAAAAAAAUUUGCCUGUGCCUUCUAGUGACUGCAGUGGUAGAUCUUUGCUAAUUCUGCAUGGUGCAGUGACUGACAGGCCAGAGAAGAAGGAGCAGGUGAGCUACUAAAGGAGCCCUGGCUGCAGGCUCAUCCAAGGGGCUUAUUUUCCAGAGGAAGACAUGUGAGUGGGACUUCUUCCUUACUUUCCCAUACUGCAGGAUUGUCACCUCCUUUCACCUCUCUUCUGAUUGAGAAUGCAGAGGAUGCCUGGAUUGAAUUACAGGGCUGGAGGACAUGGGCUACACACUGUCCCUGCAUAUUGGCUGAGGAUGCUGUAUGGAGCAGCACACCUCCACUACCUUCACCACAGGUGAGAAAAUGAUCUUGACUCUUAGUGGCAGAACUGAGAUUCGAAUGUAAGUCUCCUGAUUCCUGGUUUCAUGCUCUUUCCACUGCAUAAUCCACCUCCCUUGAUGCUGAGUACCUGUUCCAGGAAUACAGCCCUUCACAACUCCCCACAGGACCAGGGAGUAGCCUGCAUUCUGCAUAAUCGUCUGCAUGACAUUCAGUAUCAGACAUCCUGAAAUCUGCCUUUUCAUUUGGAGACUCUAUCAAAUGGACCUUUUGGUGGGGGGAUAAAUCAAUUAGGAGAAACAUCAGAACCUAAACUUUUCCUUGGAAACUUUUAUAUAAAUUUGCUAUUUAAAAAAUUAUUUAGAUUUGUGUCUCAACUAUUUGAUGUUGACAAACAGUAGAUGUUUUCUAAUAUUUAUCUAACAAGAACUAUUGAGUGCUUACCAUAUGCAGAGUACAAUGUGUCUGGUGCUGAUGUAAAUGGAAAAAUGUAUUUAAGACCACAAUCUCUGUUCUACACAAGCUUAAAUUCCGAGGUGAUGGCCAUGGGCAACAUUCUCCCUUUUCCUCUUCUUCUCCUUCCAUGGAGGAGUUGAACUAGCAUCUAUUCAGUGGUUUAGGUUCUAGGAAGGUCCAGAAUAAAGAUACUCUCAUUAAUGUGGGCAGUUUUCCUCCCAGGUGGCCAGGAAAUCAUCUCUGGUGAUGAAGCUUCUCUUAUAAUGGGGCCAGGCCUCUGGCAAAGGAGGAAGAUCUAAUGCUUUCAGCAUAACCUCAGAGGGGAGUGGUAGCUAUGGUGAUUGUCUUCUGUUUGCUAAAGGCUUGGAACAAAAGCUGAGAAAAACAAAUAUCUGUCUUGUUGAGAGGUGAUUACUUCACAAGUAACCUAGUAAGGGGAUCAGCCAGUCCUCAGUUCUCAUAAGGGGACCUACAUUCCUUUUGCUGGUAGACUAUACUUUGUCACUCUCUCUCCAGGCUGGCAAUGGGGGUGAUGGCUCAUGUGUCUUCUGCCAAGGCUUAAGGUAUGUUUGCUAUAAUUGGCAAGAUCCAAGAAAGAAUCAUGCAUGAUCUCCUCCAAUGGGGAGGGAUGGAGAGUGGGUGGGGUUGCUGCCUGGAAGGCUUAAAGCAACGGCCACAGUUUGCAGGCAGAAGGGUCAUCAACAGAGAAUACUGUUGCAGAAGCUGGUCUGAUAGAGGCUGCCUAAAUUAGCAGCAAUGUCAACACUCGUGAUAUACUUGGCCCAAUGGUAAAGAACUCUGAGCACUGAUCUGGCAAAAGCAGAUGGUCAGAGGUAGCCCAAAGACAGAGGGACCUGGCUGAUCCCCCUUUCUAGGCAUGAAGGGAAGAAUCUGGAACACCUGUGGUUACUCGUAGAAACAGGGAGCCCCAUAGCUGGAAGGCACAGAAGAAAACCCUCAGCUCCAGAAAGAGAAAGUCAAAACUUGCUUGGGUAGCACAAGUCGCUCCUAAAGAUGGAAAAUGCAGGCACCCUGCAACGCCUGAGACACAUUUUCUUUUUGCUUUUUUACAUAGCUUUCUUAAUUUUUCAUUUUUAAAUUUCUCAUUCUCUUUCCUACUCUUCUUUCUUUCUUCCCUUCUUUCCUUUCCCUCCUUUCUUUCCUUUUUCUUCCUUCUUCAGUCUUUCUUUGCUUCUUUCUCUCAGAACUUCCAUUCGUCAGGGCUUAUACCACUUCCUGGGUCUGUGCUGUUAUUUUAGGUUCUAUGGUAUCAGAUUAGGGGCCUAAGAGCCUCUACUCUUUAUGUGAUUAUAGCCUAACAGGAGCCAUGACAUGCCAAUAUGCAUUCUCCUCUUUUCUCUUUGUGGUAGACACAUAAUAUUAUUUGGGGCCAUAUUGCUUCCAAUUAAAAGACAACCUUUUUCACAGAACUACUAUAGACAAAAUGGCCAUACUUGCAAAAAUGAUAUAUGGAUUUAAUGCAAUCCCAAUCAAA